AGUAAGGCUGUUUUCAUAUACAUUACUAUUUAAUGGUUUUAAUAUUGUAAUUUUUAUAUGAUUCUGUAAAUAAAUAUUCUACAAAUGGGACAAUUUUUCAUACAGUAAAUAUCUAUAAAGAUACCCAUACAAGUAAAAGCUCUUUUGUGGUCCUCCAUAAUUUUUAAAAAUGAGGAGGGGUUCUGAGAGGAAAAAUUUUAAGAAGCACCACUUAAAAAAAAAGAAAAGAAAAGCAGAUGAUAGUACAACAGGAAAGAAGGAAAAAAUACAGUACACAGAGUAAAUACAGUGUUGUGCAUGUCAACUGGAGAAAGCUUUUCUUUAAAUGGCUUUAGGCAGGGUGUAAAAUACCAACCCUUGGGAUGCUGCGCAUUAAAACUAUAGAUACAAUCCCACUCCAAGUAUGUAGACUCAGCAAGCGCAAGGGUAUGUGGGAAUGACCUUGGGGGGUUGUUGGGGGAAUCUAUGCUGCCUAGGUAACUAUCCAAUAAGAGAUGCGGAGCCCAAAACUGAAUAACGGGCAGAGGAAGAAACUUGAAAAGGAUCCACUUUACAGCCUCCUUAGGCUGUAAAAGAAACACAGGUGGCAGCAGUAAGUCAAAGUGGCCUAAGCUCCAAGUAGGGAGACCAGCAAUGAAAUUUGAAAAGCAUCCUAAAAGGAGACCAGGGCAAAGCAGAUCUGAAUUAUCAAGAAAGCUAUACAGGUAUUUCGCCAGGAACCAGCCACCUUCAUAGGGGCUUUAUCUUUCACUGUAUCCAUGCAUAAGCCACGCCCUAUUCCCCCCCUUCUCCCUCUCUCUUAUCUAUCAUCUAUCUCUAUUCAUCUGUCACCUUAUUCUCUCUCUGUUUUUAUCUAUUUAUCUAUCAUUUUAUUUAGCUUUUUCAUUUUCUUGCUAUAUAUCAUCUCUAUCAUUCUCUCAUUAUCAUCUCUAUAUUUCUUUCUAUCUAAUCUAUUUAUCUAUCUCUAUCUAUCCUAUCUUUAUUAUCUCCUUCCCUUUCUCUCUUUUAAUAUUUCUGUUACCUAAUGUUAAUCUAUAUCCAUUACAUUUUCAGGCUUCAAUCGCUUUGUGGAAAUUCAGUAGUUCUUCAUGGAGAAAA